AGUAACGCGUGGAUAACCUGCCUCACACUGGGGAUAACAGUUAGAAAUGACUGCUGAUACCGCAUAAGCGCACAGUACCGCAUGGUACAGUGUGAAAAACUCCGGUGGUGUGAGAUGGAUCCGCGUCUGAUUAGCCAGUUGGCGGGUAACGGCCCACCAAAGCGACGAUCAGUAGCCGACCUGAGAGGGUGACCGGCCACAUUGGGACUGAGACACGGCCCAA
rnacentral:rRNA from 1 species